CUGCAUAGUAUCCGCUGUUGAAGACUAGUGCAGAACAGGGAAUGCAAAAACACAGCACAAACAACAUAGGCAGAGCUUUAACUGUGUCAAGGGGCUAGAGAUGUAGGGUGGUUUGCUGUCCUUAGCUCAAAUGUUCCUUUGUGGUUUCAUGAAUUUAGGAAGAUCAAAUGCUCCUUCCAAAAACAUUGCAAGCUUACAAUGUAGUUACUAAGGUAAUGCAGAGAUUUGGGAUAUUGUCCCAGCCUUGCACUAUGCUGAUAUAACAAGUAUCAAGAAAAUCGAUGGUAAAAAAGAUUUAUUACUCAUAUUAGUUAAACAAGCAACAAGCAAGCUCCCUUUGGUACUGGAAACAGCUUCAUUUUCCAUUAAAUGCAAAGUGUUGACAUGCAGUAGCAGUUAUUUCAUCUACCAUCUUGUUUCAGGCCUCUGGCAUUUCUGCAGUAGAGUUUCACCUCACUGAGGCAAACAAACCAAGCUGUGAUGGAGGUUCUGUGUUUUGUCUGUCUUAGCUGCCUGGGUGGGCUCAGCAGCUCAGAUAUCUCCAUGCCAGCCUUCUCAAGGCAUCUAAGGGCUCCACCCUCAGUUUCUUCCAAGGAGUUAGGAUCCUAGAAUAUGAUCAAAAAUUCAGGUGAAGAAGACUAACCAUUUUCCUAUCUCCCCCUGCUGUGAAUUGAGCCAAUGAUGGCACCUAAACCAUCACUUACAAAUGGAACAGCCCAAGUAGCAACUUGCCAUGGUCCAGACUUACCAGCAAACAUCACUGCCGUGGUAAGACUUACAAGAGUUGAGAUUCGCUCUGCCUAAAGGGCUG
rnacentral:lncRNA from 1 species